UUUUAAUUAUAAUUUCAAACUAAUUUUCAAUGGCAAACAAUAAUUUGAAGUCGUUCAUGGUGAUUCUCUUCCUCUCCGUCGUCGUUUUAUCUCCCAACUUGCCGACUAGCGAUGCAGCUCGAUUCACAGCUGAUGUGUCGAGGCACCCUAUAUGCCCAGAUUGUUUAUGCUGCGAACCCCCACCACCGCAGUCGUGUUGCAAGUGUUGUUCGGCUUCUUCUGCUUCGGUAGAGACUACCAAUGGAUCUCCGUAACGUCCUUUGUUAUCGUCUUACUUAAAAUAAAAUGUAAGCUCUAUAUCAAUAAACAUUUACAAAUAAAUAAAUUCGUUUUUCGUUUGUCAUCAA